rnacentral:rRNA from 1 species
AAACUGGAGAGUUUGAUCCUGGCUCAGAGCGAACGUUUGCGGCGGGCCUAACACAUGCAAGUCGAACGGGCAGGGGUAACCCUGUCAGUGGCGCACGGGUGCGUAACACGUGGGUAAUCAACCCUUUGGACUGGGACAACCCGGGGAAACUCGGGCUAAUACCGGAUGUGGUGCAGUGGUCCUCGGACCGUUGCACGAAAGCCUCGCAAGGGGCACCAGAGGACGAGCCCGCGGCCCAUCAGCUAGUUGGUGAGGUAAUGGCUCACCAAGGCUAAGACGGGUAGCUGGUCUGAGAGGAUGAUCAGCCACACUGGAACUGAGACACGGUCCAGACUCCUACGGGAGGCAGCAGUGGGGAAUAUUGCGCAAUGGGCGAAAGCCUGACGCAGCCACGCCGCGUGAGCGAUGAAGGCC